rnacentral:lncRNA from 1 species
GCCUUCCAAGUAAAGCAAGUGGCAAGGCCAUGUUAAUAAGAGAGAAAAAACGAGGCAUGGGGAAAAUGCCUGGAUAGAGAGACACACAGAUGCAGAUACCUGCAAUGUUGGUCUUAUGGAAACCAUCAGAUGCAAUGGGAGGCUACUUGCCAUAGUCUGGAGCUACAGAGAAAAGCAGGCUGCAGAUGGCAAGGUGGAGCCAUCGUGGGAGGAGUUGCUUGUAGACAGGACGCCUAACCAGCUAUUCUUAAAAUGUUGCAUUCUUCCAUUUUAAUCUCACUCAUUAUUGAAUCAUUAGUAAUGAUUUAUAUGACAUUGACUUUUUUCAGAAAUCUUGACUAACUCUUUGACAAGAGAUUAAUAAAGAGUGGGACUUCAGAUGUCAAGUUUUUAUGAGCAAAAGUGUCCAAGGCCAUCUCUAGAUGGGUAUUCUUGGCUGUAUUCACCACGCUCUCCAGA